AAAGCAAUCCACUGACGCAGCAGUCCCCGCAGGCUUUUGAGACACACAUUAGGAGAGGACUCUGCCCGCUGUCUGUCUCACAAUCUGCUCGAAAUAUCUUGGUCAGGAAUCUCAGGAUGUCUAGUGACCCCGAGUGAGGUGCUGCCUUUUAUUCCUGAGCAUCUUUGGAAGCAGGAAGCAGGGAGCAACGGUAGCGAGAGGUAUUCGGAUCUGAGUAUCAGCAGGAAGAAGAAACAGAGGAAGAAGUCCCCCAUAAGGAAGGCGUGAGGAGCGCAGGAAGCGCUGUUUCCCUGCCUGAGAUCUUUAUUCUACUAGGUCUUUAUUCUACGUAGCCGAUACGCUGUAAAAUUCUGGAAGAGAAGGCUAGGGGUUUAAGGUUGGUAAUCUCUCAGAAGAUCUGCGUCUCGGUGACGGAAAGAACUAAGGAUACUCACAGAUGGAAUUCUAAACUGGUAGCAGACCCUGAAGGACAAUGUCACCAUCAGAACCACCAACAAGGACAAACUGUCCCUCUCCUGCAUCACCCUGCAUACCAUCUGCAUCCACAAAAAUGCUCAUUCUUCAACAAGCCUCCUAUUUCUUUUGGGUGACUGGGAACACUGCCCAGCACCUCCAUCACAUGCUUUAGCGCUUCCCACCCUAACUUAGGGUCCCAUAUGCCUCCUGUUUCUUCUUGACCAGUGACCUGCCACUGUGGGCACUGUCAUUCUACAUGUCAGUGAGUGCAGAGUGCUAUGGUUACCAUGCAGACUAUCUUUGAGCUGACUCUGCAGGCCAGUGACCAGGGUUCAACUUGCUCAGUGUCAUCCUGAACCUGCAUGUGAUGGUGGAUGACCAUUGCAAAAAUGCAAGGACACUAUGCCAGGAGUUGCAGCCAAGUGGGGCCCUCUUUGAUGCUGCACCACUCACAAUGCAACCCAGCUAUCCCAUCACCAAAGUGGACACCAGCUGGGGCAUAAAGGCUGACUGUCCUAUCAUGUGCUUCAGGCCAGCUAAUGUGGCUCUUCAAACUAGGGAUGUGCACGAGCUAGAUGCGUGCCGUGUCACUGUGGGUAACAGAGAUGCAACCUGCCAAGGUUUGUUGGUCACCGUGGUCAAUGGUGAAUCAUCACGCUGAAACAUCACCUGGUUGCUGCUCAUAGUUUGCAGGAGUUGCUACCAGACCUCAGCAAUCGCCCAGCACCCAACAGCAGGCAGCAGACAGCACCCAACAGCUGGCGAUGGCCGUUGCCUUGAUCUCCAUGCUGUUUCUCCUCAGUGUGACUCUGGCCAUCUCUCUGAACCUGCAAUGCCCCCUAUAGCUCCAUUGCCUGGGGCUGUUUUCAGCUGGAUCUCUGGUCCAAGCCCGGAUAUGGAGUUGUCUCCAACUUAAAGAAAGGAAAUUUGCCCUGUUCCUACAACGUAUGUGUGGUUUUAGAUAUUUUUAAAAUCUUAAUUUCUUUAACUCAAGAAACAGCUUUGAACCAGGUAUUCUCUGCAGUGCCAGCAAUGAAGCUUUGUUUUAUUUUUGUUUUUGUAGAAACGGGGUUCACUAUAUUGACCAAGCUGGUCUCAAACUCCUGGCCUCAAGUAAUCUGCCCACCUUGGCCUCCCAAAGUGCUGGGAUUGCAGGCGUGAGCCACUGUGUGUGGGCAGCAAUGAAGCUUUAAAUGUUGCAUUUGAUUCAAAUGUAUUUGUGUGAUAUUUUAACAUUUUUAUUUUAUACUUACCAUCCUUUUAUAAAUCACUCCUGCGUGUUUUUGGUUGCUGAAAGUAGGGAGCUCUACAGGUUUACUUACUAGUUCUUAUGUAUAUUUUAAUUUACCUCAUUAGCUCACAAUUUCUUUGGGGAAAAGUUUAUGCCUAUUAAUGUGUAUUCUGAAAAGUUACAUUCUCUGUUAAAGAGUUACUUCCUUGCAAUAUUGAAGAUGAUUUAUUGCACCUUUAAAUUUCUACUCUUUGGCUCCAUGUACUUGUCUUUGAGAAGCUGAGAAACUGUAGAUUUGGUUAAGAACUAAAGUUCUCUUUCCAAAAACUAUUA
ensembl:lncRNA novel transcript